UGGGGAAUAUUGCACAAUGGAGGGAACUCUGAUGCAGCGACGCCGCGUGAGUGAUGAAGGAAUUCGUUUCGUAAAACUCUGUUCUAUGGGAAGAAAAGGACUGUACUAUAGGAGAAAGCUCCGGCUAAAUACGUGCCAGCAGCCGCGGUAAUACGGAUGGAGCGAGCGUUGUCCGGAAUUAUUGGGCGUAAAGGGUGCGCAGGCGGCUUUACAAGUUGGAUGUGAAAUAUUGUGGCUCAACCACAAACGUGCAUCCAAAACUGCAAAGCUUGAGUUAAGGAGAGGUAAGUGGAAUUCCUGGUGUAGCGGUGGAAUGCGUAGAUAUCAGGAGGAAUACCGGUGGCGAAGGCGACUUACUGGGCUUAAACUGACGCUCAGGCACGAAAGCGUGGGGAGCAAACAGG
rnacentral:rRNA from 1 species